GACUUGGCUGGGCGGUCCGCUUAACGGCGUGUACUGUCUGGCUGGGUCUUACCUCUUGGUGAGCCGGCGUGCCCUUUAUUGGUGUGCGUCGGGGAACCAGGACUUUUACCUUGAGAAAAUUAGAGUGUUCAAAGCAGGCCUAUGCCUGAAUACAUUAGCAUGGAAUAAUAAAAUAGGACGUGCGGUUCUAUUUUGUUGGUUUCUAGGAUUGACGUA
rnacentral:rRNA from 1 species